rnacentral:tRNA from 1 species
GAGCCGUUAGCUCAACAGGUAGAGCACCUGACUCUUAAUCAGGGGGUUGCAGGUUCGAUUCCUGCACGGCUCACCA